GCUGCCCCUAGAGGUACUGCAGGUGUGACUGCUGUGUCACAGGUGUACUUCAGCAGGUGGCAGAGAGGAAAGAGGCUAUGUCAAUGCCCAGUGUUCAGACACAUGAACAUCUGAAUGAAUAGGAGCCUAACAUU